GUCCACGCCGUAAACGGUGGGCACUAGGUGUGGGGACCAUUCCACGGUCUCUGCGCCGCAGCUAACGCAUUAAGUGCCCCGCCUGGGGAGUACGGCCGCAAGGCUAAAACUCAAAGGAAUUGACGGGGGCCCGCACAAGCGGCGGAGCAUGCGGCUUAAUUCGAUGCAACGCGAAGAACCUUACCUAGGCUUGACAUGCAGGGAAAACUGGCAGAGAUGUCAGGUCCUUACGGGCCUUGCACAGGUGGUGCAUGGCUGUCGU
rnacentral:rRNA from 1 species